rnacentral:rRNA from 1 species
GACCUGGUUGGGCGGUCCGCUUAACGGCGUGUACUGUCCGACUGGGCCUUACUUCUUGGUGAGCUGGCGUGCCCUUUAUUGGUGUGCGUCGGGGAACCAGGACUUUUACCUUGAGAAAAUUAGAGUGUUCAAAGCAGGCCUAUGCCCGAAUACAUUAGCAUGGAAUAAUGGAAUAGGACUGUGGUCCCGUUUUGUUGGUUUUCAGGACCGCGGUA